AUGCUCCCUUUGGCAGCAUAUAUAUUGAAACUGGAACGAUACAGAGAUUAACAUGGUCCCUGCACAAGGAUGCCAUGCAAAUUCAUGAAGCAUUCCAUAUUUAC